rnacentral:tRNA from 1 species
GCCAAUAUGGCAUAGUGGUUUGAGUGUUAGGCUAUGACUCUGAAGACCAGGGUUCGAUUCCCCACUUGGCCA